UAUUGUUAAUUUCUGUUGGAUGCUCU
rnacentral:piRNA from 1 species